AAAAAUAAACCAAGUCUUCCUCUCAACCUGUAAACACAAAAGCCCUUCAUUUUGGCUUUAUAUCUUUUAAAAGUCUAGUCUUUUCAGGUCGAUUUUUUCUUUUUUUUUUUUCUUUUUUUUUUCCCCAGAGUAACUGUGUUAUCCUGCAUAUGGAUGGAAUGCUACAGUCAUUAGGCUGUAGGAUAGAUUUCAAAUUUUUAAAGGUAGAGUGACCUUAGCAGAAAAAUAUCACCAGAAAUUACCUCCUGGAAAACAGGCUACACAGAACAAUUCCAGAACUGCUCAAAUGUGACUUGGAACAGGCUUCCUAAGGAAAUGGAACAGGCUGCCCAGGAAAUUGAUCACGGCACCAAGUCUGCCAGAGUUUAAGGAGCAUUUGGACAACACUCUAAACCACAUGGUGCGAUUCUUGGGGUUGUCCUGUGCAGAAUCAGGAGCUGGAGUUAGACAAUUUUUGUGGGUCCCUUCCAACUCAGGAUUUUCUAAGACUUGAGUUCUCUUUGUAAGGACUUUGAGGUGUGGAACAUCUCUUAUCUGACCAUGUGGUUCUCUGUAAACCACCUCUUCUAGACCAUCAUUGCUCUGAUUUAGUUUGCUUUUAGGUCUUUUUCUGGUUUGUACUGUGAUUUGUUACUGUGGUUUUAAGUCACAUUUCGUAAGCAUUCAAAAGAAUCUGAAUAGUGUGCUAAGAUUCAGAACUCAUACUUAAUUUAAUAAAGAAUAUACAUUAAA